CCUUUCUGUUGCUUUGAUCACAGGGAAAGUUAUGCACCCUGAUCUCCAUCAUGGUGCACAAGUGAGAGGCAGAGAGAGGUAUAGACCCAAAUUGUCUGCCCCCUGAUACCAGGUUCCUGCUACACACUACAGGGUGUCAAAGAAGUGGGGAGAGCACUGCGGCAACCUACAUAUUUUGCACUGAACCCUGCAAACCCAAAGGGGGAAAUACCCUUAGGAUUCCAUGGUUUCUCUUUUCGAAUCCUCCAAAACAUGGAAUCGGUACAGAUUCAUCAGAAGCUGUGUCAUCCUGGAAGAACCAACCAUCUUUCGUAAGAGAAUGCCACCCACAUAGGGCAGGCUACAGGCCAUUCUGCUGAGGGGCUGGGGCAUGAGCUGUGAGCAGCACCACUGUCACGGGUAGAAGAUGCGGUUUUCUUCAGGAUAGGUGACUUUACUGAGGGGCAUCCUGUAGAUGUUGGCAUUUUUCGUGGUCACCAAGAGGAACAGUAGCGUGGCCAAACAGAAGGGCCAGGUACAAGCUGGCAAUCCCGCCUGAAGAGGAAGA